UACGAAGGGGGCUAGCGUUGCUCGGAAUCACUGGGCGUAAAGCGCACGUAGGCGGAUCUUUAAGUCAGGGGUGAAAUCCUGGAGCUCAACUCCAGAACUGCCUUUGAUACUGGGGAUCUCGAGUCCGGGAGAGGUGAGUGGAACUGCGAGUGUAGAGGUGAAAUACGUAGAGAUUGGGAAGAACACCAGUGGCGAAGGCGGCUAUCUGGACGGUUUCUGACGCUAAGACGCGAAAGCGUGGGGAGCAAACAGG
rnacentral:rRNA from 1 species